UGGGGAAUAUUGGACAAUGGGCGGAAGCCUGAUCCAGCAACGCCGCGUGAGGGAUGACGGCCUUCGGGUUGUAAACCUCUUUUACCACUGACGAAGGCUCACUUUUUGGUGGGUUGACGGUAGGUGGUGAAUAAGCACCGGCCAACUACGUGCCAGCAGCCGCGGUAAUACGUAGGGUGCGAGCGUUGUCCGGAAUUAUUGGGCGUAAAGGGCUCGUAGGCGGUUUGUCGCGUCGGGAGUGAAAACCCAGGGCUUAACCCUGGGCUGGCUUUCGAUACGGGCAGACUUGAGGCAUGCAGGGGAGAACGGAAUUCCUGGUGUAGCGGUGAAAUGCGCAGAUAUCAGGAGGAACACCGGUGGCGAAGGCGGUUCUCUGGGCAUGUUCUGACGCUGAGGAGCGAAAGUGUGGGGAGCGAACAGG
rnacentral:rRNA from 1 species